UACGGAGGGUGCAAGCGUUAUCCGGAUUCACUGGGUUUAAAGGGUGCGUAGGCGGUUUAGCAAGUCCGUUGUGAAAUCUCUGAGCUUAACUCGGAAAUUGCGGUGGAUACUAUUAGUCUUGAAUACUGUGGAGGUUAGCGGAAUAUGUCAUGUAGCGGUGAAAUGCGUAGAUAUCGAUCGGAACACCCGUGGCGAAGGCGGCUUGCUGGCUCGCAACUGACGCUGAGGCGCGAAAGCGUGGGGAGCAAGCAGG
rnacentral:rRNA from 1 species